rnacentral:rRNA from 1 species
UACGUAGGGAGCAAGCGUUGUUCGGAUUUAUUGGGCGUAAAGAGCGUGUAGGCGGCUUUACAGGUCCGUUGUGAAAACUCGAGGCUCAACCUCGAGACGCCGGUGGAAACCGUAAGGCUAGAGUCCGGAAGAGGAGAGUGGAAUUCCUGGUGUAGCGGUGAAAUGCGCAGAUAUCAGGAAGAACACCCGUGGCGAAGGCGGCUCUCUGGGACGGUACUGACGCUGAGACGCGAAAGCGUGGGGAGCGAACAGG